rnacentral:rRNA from 1 species
UUUAACGAGAGUUUGAUCCUGGCUCAGAAUCAACGCUGGCGGCGUGCCUCAGACAUGCAAGUCGUACGGUUAAAGCUCUCUUCGGAGAGUGUAUAAAGUGGCGUACGGGUGAGUAACACGUAAGUAAUCUACCUUUGGGUGGGGGAUAACUCAGGGAAACUUGAGCUAAUACCGCAUAAUGCAGCGGCUUCUUUGGAAGACAGUUGUUAAAGCAUUUAUGUGCCUGAAGAGGAGCUUGCGGCAGAUUAGCUAGUUGGUAAGGUAAUGGCUUACCAAGGCAACGAUCUGUAGCCGACCUGAGAGGGUGGUCGGUCACACUGACACUGAAUAACGGGUCAGACUCCUACGGGAGGCA